GAUGAAGAACGCAGCGAAAUGCGAUACGUAGUGUGAAUUGCAGAAUCCAGUGAAUCAUCGAAUCUUUGAACGCACAUUGCGCCCGCCAGCAUUCUGGCGGGCAUGCCUGUUCGAGCGUCAUUUCAACCCUCGAGCCCCCCCGGGGGCCUCGGUGUUGGGGGACGGCACACCAGCCGCCCCCGAAAUGCAGUGGCGACCUCGCCGCAGCCUCCCCUGCGUAGUAGCACACACCUCGCACCGGAGCGCGGAGACGGUCACGCCGUAAAACGCCCAACUUCUUAGAGUUGACCUCGGAUCAGGUAGGAAUACCCGCUGAACUUAAGCAUAUCAAUAAGCGGAGGA
rnacentral:misc_RNA from 1 species